UACGUAGGGCGCAAGCGUUAUCCGGAAUUAUUGGGCGUAAAGAGCUCGUAGGCGGUUUGUCGCGUCUGCCGUGAAAGUCCGGGGCUCAACUCCGGAUCUGCGGUGGGUACGGGCAGACUAGAGUGAUGUAGGGGAGACUGGAAUUCCUGGUGUAGCGGUGAAAUGCGCAGAUAUCAGGAGGAACACCGAUGGCGAAGGCAGGUCUCUGGGCCUUACCUGACGCUGAGGAGCGAAAGCAUGGGGAGCAAACAGG
rnacentral:rRNA from 1 species